rnacentral:rRNA from 1 species
GGAUUAGGCAUGCAAGUCGUGCGGAAAGGCUCCUUCGGGAGUACUCGAGCGGCGAAAGGGAGAGUAACGCGUGGAUAUUUGCCCCCGGGACCGGGAUAGCGGCGGGAAACUGCCGGUAAUACCGGAUAACGUCUCCGGACCAAAGGUGUGAUUCCGCCAGGGGAUAAGUCCGCGUCCUAUUAGCUUGUUGGUGGGGUAAAAGCCUACCAAGGCUGAGAUGGGUACCGGGUGUGAGAGCAUGGCCCGGCUCACUGGGACUGAGACACUGCCCAGACACCUACGGGUGGCUGCAGUCGAGAAUCUUCGGCAAUGGGCGCAAGCCUGACCGAGCGACGCCGCGUGCGGGAUGAAGGCCUUCGGGUUGUAAACCGCUGUCAGAGGGGAGGAAAUGUCAUGAGGUUCUCCUCAUGAUUUGACCGAUCCUCAGAGGAAGUACGGGCUAAGUUCGUGCCAGCAGCCGCGGUAACACGAACCGUACGAACGUUAUUCGGAAUCACUGGGCUUAAAGAGUGCGUAGGCGGCUUGGCAAGUUGGGUGUGAAAGCCCUCGGCUCAACCGAGGAAUUGCGCUCAAAACUGCUUGGCUUGAGGGAGAUAGGGGUGAGCGGAACUAAUGGUGGAGCGGUGAAAUGCGUUGAUAUCAUUAGGAACACCGGAGGCGAAAGCGGCUCACUGGGUCUCUUCUGACGCUGAGGCACGAAAGCUAGGGGAGCGAACGGGAUUAGAUACCCCGGUAGUCCUAGCUGUAAACGAUGAGC